rnacentral:rRNA from 1 species
UACGGAGGAUGCAAGCGUUAUCCGGAAUUAUUGGGCGUAAAGCGUCCGCAGGUGGCUAUGUAAGUCUGCUGUUAAAGAGUGAGGCUCAACCUCAUAAGAGCAGUGGAAACUACAUAGCUAGAGUGCGUUCGGGGCAGAGGGAAUUCCUGGUGUAGCGGUGAAAUGCGUAGAUAUCAGGAAGAACACCGGUGGCGAAAGCGCUCUGCUAGGCCGCAACUGACACUGAGGGACGAAAGCGAGGGGAGCGAAUGGG